rnacentral:tRNA from 1 species
GCGGGCGUGGUGGAAUUGGUAGACACGCAAGAUUUAGGUUCUUGUGGUUAGCGCUGUGGGGGUUCGAGUCCCUUCGCCCGCACCA